AUAUAUACUUAUAAGUCAUAAAGGUAUAAUCUGGUCUGAAUAAAUUCAUCUAAAUACAUGUGCAUCUAGAUACAAAUUAAAGACAGCCAUAUUCAUUUGACUAGUAAACAUAUCAAACUGCACUCUUUAAUUUCAUAGAUAUAAAUGUCUUCUUGAAUAAAGCUGCUUCCAGAAAUAAGACUGUAACUGCAUCAUGUCAUCACCAUAAAAAACGACAGCAGUAACCAGACCAUUAUAUUGAUGAAGGGAAUAAUAACUCUAUUUAUUUCUGCAAAAAAAAUAAGAAUGAUGUAUAAU
rnacentral:lncRNA from 1 species